rnacentral:rRNA from 1 species
GUUGGGGAUAACUCCGGGAAACCGGGGCUAAUACCGAAUGAUAGAGUGUGGCGCAUGCCACGCUCUUGAAAGAUGGUUUCGGCUAUCGCUUACAGAUGGGCCCGCGGUGCAUUAGCUAGUUGGUAGGGUAAUGGCCUACCAAGGCAACGAUGCAUAGCCGACCUGAGAGGGUGAUCGGCCACACUGGGACUGAGACACGGCCCAGACUCCUACGGGAGGCAGCAGUAGGGAAUCUUCCGCAAUGGACGAAAGUCUGACGGAGCAACGCCGCGUGUAUGAAGAAGGUUUUCGGAUCGUAAAGUACUGUUGUUAGAGAAGAACAAGGAUAAGAGUAACUGCUUGUCCCUUGACGGUAUCUAACCAGAAAGCCACGGCUAACUACGUGCCAGCAGCCGCGGUAAUACGUAGGUGGCAAGCGUUGUCCGGAUUUAUUGGGCGUAAAGCGCGCGCAGGCGGUCUUUUAAGUCUGAUGUGAAAGCCCCCGGCUUAACCGGGGAGGGUCAUUGGAAACUGGAAGACUGGAGUGCAGAAGAGGAGAGUGGAAUUCCACGUGUAGCGGUGAAAUGCGUAGAUAUGUGGAGGAACACCAGUGGCGAAGGCGACUCUCUGGUCUGUAACUGACGC